rnacentral:rRNA from 1 species
AGCGAACGCUGGCGGCAGGCCUAACACAUGCCAGUCGAACGAACUCUUCGGAGUUAGUGGCGGACGGGUGAGUAACACGUGGGAACGUGCCUUUUGGUUCGGAAUAACUCAGGGAAACUUGUGCUAAUACCGAAUGUGCCCUUCGGGGGAAAGAUUUAUCGCCAUUAGAGCGGCCCGCGUCUGAUUAGCUAGUUGGUGAGGUAACGGCUCACCAAGGCGACGAUCAGUAGCUGGUCUGAGAGGAUGACCAGCCACACUGGGACUGAGACACGGCCCAGACUCCUACGGGAGGCAGCAGUGGGGAAUCUUGCGCAAUGGGCGAAAGCCUGACGCAGCCAUGCCGCGUGAAUGGUGAAGGUCUUAGGAUUGUAAAAUUCUUUCACCGGGGACGAUAAUGACGGUACCCGGAGAAGAAGCCCCGGCUAACUUCGUG